UUUUUUUUUUUUUUUUUUUAAAUUCUAUCCUAUCUUUUUUUGUAGGUGGGGUAGUCAUGUUGGGUGUCUUGGACACGUGCGUGUCAAUUUGCUCAUACGUUUUGUCACCAUAUACGUGUUUCUUUUUUCUUUCUCUUAUAUUGUCGAGUCAUCCUCCACAGCCUUUGAUCUCGAUUUCCCGGCUCCAGUCUCCUCAAUUCUCUUUCAGCUUUACGUCUCCCACAUUCUAUUUUGCCCUAAAUUCACAGGGGUUAGUUCAACAUCGCUACCAUCAUUGCCUCUGACGCUCACCCCCGCCACUUCAAUCGCUGAAUUCCAGCGAGCAUCUCCACCAAGCGAAUCAAUUCGACCGCUCCACAAACCCUACUCUGCAAUCCAGGUUCGAUUCCAUUGUCAACCGCUAUCGCCUCCUUCGUUUUACUCCUCAUUUUGUUCUUCGUUGUUCGUCUCGCCGCCAUCGCGCUCACGCAUGCCUUCACCGCUGACACCGUUGAUCCAACUUACUUUUUCUAUGAAUGUUCUCCAACAAUCGUUGCAUCUGAGUCCCAUGAUUCUAUGCCCUUUAUUGGUACCAUAAUUAGAGCUAUGCAGGUAAAUAAAAAUCAUUAAAAGUUUAAUUAGCUUCCAAUUUCCCUACUAUAUCCUCCUCCACCGCUUCUCCUCUACUUUUCAUCUAUACUCUCCAUUUCUUUCAUAUUUUCUCCCGAGAGCACAAUAAUCGGUUACUGUUCCGGGCCGUAUCAAGGUUCCUUCGAUAUGAUCCCCCAGUUUUGUCGUUGUCGGUAUGUCUAAUUUUUGACCAGUGUACCCUCCACAGCAAGCGAUUGUUGGAAAAGAUCUCCACAUGUUAGUUCCAAGAUUUGGGGCUUAAGCACAUGGUCUGGAAAACCCUAGCGUAUAAUCGACUUGCCAGAAGAGUAGGUAUUGGAUUCGAUUUUGGGGUUUUAUUGAAAGUUUAAUCUUGGGUUUUAAAAGAACUGAAGAUGGAAACCUGAUUUUAGACAGAAGAGGUUUAAUUCUGCGUUUUCUAACACUCAUCUAAAAGAGAUGGAAACUUGACUUUAUACAAAAGAGUACACAAUGUUAAUUUCCUUCAAUUGGUUUGCAUAAGCCAUUUAAAUGGAUGGAUUUUUUCAUAUUUGAUGGCUCUACGAUUUACUCCAACAAAUGUAAAAGACUUCGGCAAAAAUUCGGUGACAACACUAUACGUGAAUCAUGCAGCUAUAUUACAGGUUCUUUUGAAUCUCAUUGUUAGUUGAAGGAUUCAUUUUUUUAGACUAACAUAUGAGGUCCGUGAGCUUUUUUUGCUUCUAUGUGGACAUAAAUGGAACAUAUGAUUGAAAUAUCACUUGAUAUUACAGGUUUUGGGUGCAAUUUGUUUUUCAAGAGUGGAUAUAAUAUAUUUGUUGUGUAUCCCAUCACGGUUACAAAAAGGUCACAUUAAUCUUUAUCCAUCAAAAAUGUAUGUUUUUUGUUCUUUUUUUUUUUUUUUUUCAUUUUUGCUUUCUACUUCUUGAAAAAACCAACUCAUCAUUAAAGCAUAUAUUAACUAUUAUUUGUUGUCUUUUAACUAUUAUAAUUUUAUUUGAUAUUAUUUAUGCGCUUCAAGCCCAAUGUCUGUUCAAAACGAUCUUCAAGUUAUUCAUCGGUUGCUUUUUUGUUAAUUUGAGCUACCAAAGUUAGCAAGAUCGGAACAUAAGAAGCUUCUUGCAUGAUUGGAACUAUGAAGAAAUAUAGAGAGGAGAUGAUGGAAAACGCACUUGAACAACUGAUGUCUGUCUGCAAUUUAUUUGAUUUCGACUUUGGGUCCGGUCAACCGGAAGAAAUCCGAUAAAUUCCAUUCGUUGCGGAACUUGGAUAUGUAAAGAAGAAUCAAAAUCAAACAGCGAUGAAGUAAAUCAAACAUCAAACAUUUUAAGAAUAAAACCUGCAAUUGUCAGCCAAAGAAAAGUCCACAAAUCUUACUGGUCAGCCAUUAAGUGUACUUGAGCAAAGGUAGAUAAGACAAUGUAAAAGAAGCGAGACCUUGCAAAGCAUUGCGUCGAUGGUUCCAUGCUGCCGAACGAAAUUGUUUUUUUGGGGGGCUAAACUUCAGUUGAAUAAAGCGGCGGAGAUGAGGAUUAAAAACGUAGUUGAGGCGGUGGACUAAUCCGGAUUGAAUUAGAGUAACCUGAUGAAAGCAUCGGAGCAGAACACGUGUCCAAAAUAGUACAAUCCACAUGCAAAACAGGACGGUCCAAUGAUAGAUUAUAAGAAAAAAAAAGACUGAUGAGAACAUAGGGUAGAAAACGAAAAAAAAAGAAUUAGGAGUAAAAUGAAAAUCCCUAAAAACAUAAGGAUAAUAUAUGAAAAUAGCCAAAGAUAUAAACCACAUAUGUCAAAAUGCUGGCAAGUUCAUUGUUCCUAA